CGCCUUUCAUUGGCUCCUGCCGCCCUCGCGACUUUAGACCGAGCUCCGAUUGGCCGAGCUCAAAAAAGCCGACUUUGAGCUACGGUAUUCAAAUACGUGCCCCGUUGACUGCUAUGGCCAACUUGGAGCUUGGCUGACUGCUGUGUAUAGAGGGCAAGCUUGGCUUAGAUGAUCUUUGACAUCCCUGUCAAUUCUCAAUCCCUGAUUAUCCAGUGGAACAACAGAAUGACAACUGCUCCACAGAAACUCAAGAAAUCCUAUAGUAAGGCAAGAAGACAUUCCAGUCUGCACUGGUGGGCAGAGUAUUCAAGUGAAUGAAAUCAUGGACUCUUGAAGAAAAUAUAUAUUUCAAAUCAGC
rnacentral:lncRNA from 1 species